AGAUCCACAGAGAUUGUGGGUGAAGACCAUCUCUGAAAUCUGGAGAAACAGGCAAAUACAGAAAAUUGCAGCUGAAACAAAAUCUCUUGAAGUCAUAAACUGCCAUGUGAAGACAGACACCUGCUCACGCUUUUCCUUCCACCAUGAUUGUAAGUUUCCUGAGACCACCCCAGAAGCAGAUGCUGCCUUGCUUCCUGUACAGUCUGCAGAACUGUGAGCCAAUUAUUUGGUGUUAUACAAUUACUUUCAAUGGCAAAAACCACACACAUGUGAUAAUUUUAAGAUAGUGUUCAGAGUUCUGAAUAAAAUGGAUGUUAACUCUUAAA